UAUAAUCAGGAGUUGUCGUACAGGAACAAAAGGAAAGGACGACAGCAAAUGGGAAAGUCACUUUUGCAUUGAGAAUUGGCCAGCCUAGAGGAUGGAAGGCAGAAGACCUUUCCAACAUGUUAAGAGCCAAAAGAGUACCUUUUAGUGUUUGUUUUGAUUAUAUUUGCCUGUAACCCAGCAACUGGACCCAGAUGCCAGGAGCCCAAAGAGAACACUGCUGAUGACUGGUGUAUGGAAAGAAAAAGAAAUCCUUUUGUUUUCUUACUUCUAUGGUUCUUCUCAAGAUGUGGAAACUGAUGCAUGGAGCCCAAGGUCAUCACUCAUAAGAGCAGGAGCUGGAAACUAACACUUAAAAGAACAUGUAGGGCUUCCCUGGUGGCACAGUGGUUGAGAGUCCGCCUGCCGAUGCAGGGGACACGGGUUCGUGCCCCGGUCCGGGAGGAUCCCACAUGCCGCGCGGUGACUGGGCCCGUGAGACAUGGCCGCUGAGCCUGCGCGUCCGGAGCCUGUGCUCUGCAGCGGGAGAGGCCACAACAGUGAGAGGCCCGCGUACCAAAAACAAAAAACAUUGUAGCCAAUAAGUAACUUUUGUGACACACUGUUUUUAGCAACUUGCUGGGAAAGCACACAGGAGAGAGUAUAAAUAGACUCUCCUGAAAGGGGCAACUCGCAUGAAAUCUACAAGGGGUCAGUCAUGGGUGAUGGUUGG